rnacentral:rRNA from 1 species
GGUUAAGCGACUAAGCGUACACGGUGGAUGCCCUGGCAGUCAGAGGCGAUGAAGGACGUGCUAAUCUGCGAAAAGCGUCGGUAAGGUGAUAUGAACCGUUAUAGCCGGCGAUGUCCGAAUGGGGAAACCCAGUGCAAUUCGUUGCACUAUCGUUAACUGAAUACAUAGGUUAACGAGGCGAACCGGGGGAACUGAAACAUCUAAGUACCCCGAGGAAAAGAAAUCAACCGAGAUUCCCCCAGUAGCGGCGAGCGAACGGGGAGCAGCCCGGAGUCUGAAUCAGCUUGUGUGUUAGUGGAAGCGUCUGGAAAGUCGCAGGGUACAGGGUGAUACUCCCGUACACUAAAACGCACAGGUUGUGAACUCGAAGAGUAGGGCGGGACACGUGGUAUCCUGUCUGAAUAUGGGGGGACCAUCCUCCAAGGCUAAAUACUCCUGACUGACCGAUAGUGAACCAGUACCGUGAGGGAAAGGCGAAAAGAACCCCGGCGAGGGGAGUGAAAAAGAACCUGAAACCGUGUACGUACAAGCAGUAGGAGCCCACUAGUUGGGUGACUGCGUACCUUUUGUAUAAUGGGUCAGCGACUUAUAUUCUGUAGCAAGGUUAACCGUAUAGGGGAGCCGCAGGGAAACCGAGUCUUAACUGGGCGUUAAGUUGCAGGGUAUAGACCCGAAACCCGGUGAUCUAGCCAUGGGCAGGUUGAAGGUUGGGUAACACUAACUGGAGGACCGAACCGACUAAUGUUGAAAAAUUAGCGGAUGACUUGUGGCUGGGGGUGAAAGGCCAAUCAAACCGGGAGAUAGCUGGUUCUCCCCGAAAGCUAUUUAGGUAGCGCCUCGUGAACUCAUCUUCGGGGGUAGAGCACUGUUUCGGCUAGGGGGUCAUCCCGACUUACCAACCCGAUGCAAACUACGAAUACCGAAGAAUGUUAUCACGGGAGACACACGGCGGGUGCUAACGUCCGUCGUGAAGAGGGAAACAACCCAGACCGCCAGCUAAGGUCCCAAAGUCAUGGUUAAGUGGGAAACGAUGUGGGAAGGCCCAGACAGCCAGGAUGUUGGCUUAGAAGCAGCCAUCAUUUAAAGAAAGCGUAAUAGCUCACUGGUCGAGUCGGCCUGCGCGGAAGAUGUAACGGGGCUAAACCAUGCACCGAAGCUGCGGCAGCGACACUAUGUGUUGUUGGGUAGGGGAGCGUUCUGUAAGCCGUUGAAGGUGGCCUGUGAGGGUUGCUGGAGGUAUCAGAAGUGCGAAUGCUGACAUAAGUAACGAUAAUGCGGGUGAAAAACCCGCACGCCGGAAGACCAAGGGUUCCUGUCCAACGUUAAUCGGGGCAGGGUGAGUCGACCCCUAAGGCGAGGCCGAAAGGCGUAGUCGAUGGGAAACAGGUUAAUAUUCCUGUACUCGGUGUUACUGCGAAGGGGGGACGGAGAAGGCUAUGUUGGCCGGGCGACGGUUGUCCCGGUUUAAGCAUGUAGGCGGAUGUUCCAGGUAAAUCCGGAACGUUAUCAACGCUGAGGUGUGAUGACGAGGCACUACGGUGCUGAAGUGACAAAUGCCCUGCUUCCAGGAAAAGCCUCUAAGCAUCAGGUAACAUCAAAUCGUACCCCAAACCGACACAGGUGGUCAGGUAGAGAAUACCAAGGCGCUUGAGAGAACUCGGGUGAAGGAACUAGGCAAAAUGGUGCCGUAACUUCGGGAGAAGGCACGCUGAUGGUAGGUGAAGUGACUUGCUCAUGGAGCUGAAAUCAGUCGAAGAUACCAGCUGGCUGCAACUGUUUAUUAAAAACACAGCACUGUGCAAACACGAAAGUGGACGUAUACGGUGUGACGCCUGCCCGGUGCCGGAAGGUUAAUUGAUGGGGUUAUCCUCGCGGAGAAGCUCUUGAUCGAAGCCCCGGUAAACGGCGGCCGUAACUAUAACGGUCCUAAGGUAGCGAAAUUCCUUGUCGGGUAAGUUCCGACCUGCACGAAUGGCGUAAUGAUGGCCAGGCUGUCUCCACCCGAGACUCAGUGAAAUUGAACUCGCUGUGAAGAUGCAGUGUACCCGCGGCAAGACGGAAAGACCCCGUGAACCUUUACUAUAGCUUGACACUGAACACUGGUCCUUGAUGUGUAGGAUAGGUGGGAGGCUUUGAAGUGUGGACGCCAGUCUGCAUGGAGCCAUCCUUGAAAUACCACCCUUUAAUGGCUGGUGUUCUAACGUGGGCCCGUAAUCCGGGUUGCGGACAGUGUCUGGUGGGUAGUUUGACUGGGGCGGUCUCCUCCUAAAGAGUAACGGAGGAGCACGAAGGUCAGCUAAUCCUGGUCGGACAUCAGGAGGUUAGUGCAAUGGCAUAAGCUGGCUUGACUGCGAGCGUGACGGCGCGAGCAGGUGCGAAAGCAGGUCAUAGUGAUCCGGUGGUUCUGAAUGGAAGGGCCAUCGCUCAACGGAUAAAAGGUACUCCGGGGAUAACAGGCUGAUACCGCCCAAGAGUUCAUAUCGACGGCGGUGUUUGGCACCUCGAUGUCGGCUCAUCACAUCCUGGGGCUGAAGUAGGUCCCAAGGGUAUGGCUGUUCGCCAUUUAAAGUGGUACGCGAGCUGGGUUUAGAACGUCGUGAGACAGUUCGGUCCCUAUCUGCCGUGGGCGCUGGAGAAUUGAGGGGGGCUGCUCCUAGUACGAGAGGACCGGAGUGGACGCAUCACUGGUGUUCGGGUUGUCAUGCCAAUGGCAUUGCCCGGUAGCUAAAUGCGGAAGAGAUAAGUGCUGAAAGCAUCUAAGCACGAAACUUGCCCCGAGAUGAGUUCUCCCUGACUCCUUGAGAGUCCUGAAGGAACGUUGAAGACGACGACGUUGAUAGGCCGGGUGUGUAAGCGCAGCGAUGCGUUGAGCUAACCGGUACUAAUGAACCGUGAGGCUUAACCUUAC